AUUAUUAUUUUUGGUUGUGACAUAGUUGUCCCAGUGCUUUUACAAGUUAAAAUAUUUUUGAACUCUCAUUCAAUAAUGGAAGGAUUGAUUGAGGAACUAGCUUCUUGGAUUCCAAUGUUGGGAUUGACUUUGAUGAAGCUCAAAUCAAGGCAUUUUUAUGGUUUGGUAGACAGACCAAUGAGAGCAAAACUCUUCUUUAGAGUCUACAUUUUGAAUUUAUAGGCUUAGUUUUAGUGCUCUGACAAAAACACUUGGUUAAAUUCUUACGAUGUGCUUUGUGGAUUAAUAUUACCAUAUACACAACCAUCCAAGAAGUGACAUUCACAAAGAAGGUUUUGUCUCCGCUUGUUGCCUCCUGAGCAUGGAUCCAUGCUUUGGGUACAACAUGUGGGGACAAAAACAAAUUUAAUAUAUUUAUUUUGAAUCCUUCAAGAAGAGGAAGAGUAGUAGACUAUAGUGCUUGUGUUGGUGAUUGUAAUAUAACACAAGAGGUUUCAAAUUUGAUUCCUAACACUGAUUUUGAUUUCAAUUCUUAUUACUCUUUUUUUUUUUUUUUUUUUUUUUUUUAAAUUGUAAACCACGUUCUUCUUCUUUCUUUUCUUAUUUUUCUUUUUGAAGCAAAGUAUCCUCAACAAGACUCAUAAAUUGUGGAUUUACAAAUUAGCAAGAAAGUUGCCAAACCAAAGGGUUUAAAAUUUGCCAAACAGUUAGAAUUUGGAAAACAUCCAGCAAAGAUGUCCAUCCACAAGAUAUUCUCUCUAUGGUAUCCAAGUUUAAAGUUUCUACCAUGAUUUUGCACAAGGUUUUCAACCCCAUUGGUGUUCACAUGAUUUGCAAGAAUGGGUCUUUGUUGACUGGGUUUGCCUGCUCAGAUGCAUGGAUUCCACCAUAAAACCCUAGGAAAAAUUAUGAUCGCAUUUGUACUGAGUGAGAACAUGGUUGAUAGAAUUUGUAAUUUUCUUAUAGGAAUCCUGUGUUCAUGCAAGUGAAAGCCAAAACAUCACUACAGUCUUCAGCUUAUAGUUUAUGUGGAUGGAGACUCCACUAUUGAAAACAGUGUACAGUCUCUUUAUUUGGAAAUGGAACAAAGCUGUAAGAAAUUCUGGAUGGAAAAUUGACUGAAUUUAAAAAUAAAAUAAGACAUAAAAAUUGCUCAUAAGUGCAAGCUGACUGUUAUAUUUUUGGGUUUAGGGUUUUGAGCAUGUACUUUACAUGUAUGCAUGUAUUCAUUCAUGUAUAAAUGCAAUCAUCUUGUGUGAUGCAUGGUCCUUUACAAAUGAAUAUAUAUAUAUAUAUACAUGAAACAGUGUGCUUUGGCAAUGUUUCAAUACUUGGUCAUGAUAUUAUAGCAUGUAGUUAAAACUUGAAAUUAUCAAAGCAGGAAGAAACAAAUCAAAACAGUAACAACAAUGAAACUUGUCAUAUUAGCAAGUUAUUGGUAAUUAUAUUUUUUUUUAGUCAACUGAGAAGCACAGAUGUUAGAGUUAUGAAUAAAUGAGUAAAUUAAUAUUGAAGAAGAAGAAGGAAAGAAGGAAAUAAACCUUGAAUGAAAAAAAUUAAAAUAACUUUUAAGGCUUAAAUGUGGUGGGUUUCCCCUGUAGAAUAGGAAGGAAAUGGAGGCUGACCCUAAUCAUUCCCUUCACAUGGCAAUCAAAUAUACAGGGGUGAAUGUUGGCCACCAUCUUUGUAAUGGGUACCCAAUAACUCACAUCUGCCCAGUUGAUUUAUUUAUUUAUUUUUUCAAUCUUUAGGGCAAUACCUGCACAAAGCUAGAUGCAUAGGAAGAAAUAUUAGUUGACCAUACUGCUACUACAUAGCUACAAUCAUAUAUAGUUGUGCCUUUUGUCUCUAGUUCCAGUGGCAAUCCCAUAAAGUAAAUCCUCUUAUCAUUCCACUUUUGGACACAGAGUGUUUGUUUGUUUUGCCCUGAUCCUUCUUUGGCUUGAGAUCAAACCUCAGUUUUCUAUAAAAAAAUAUUGGAAAUCAAUCACCUUAUCAAAUCACAUUUAACU
rnacentral:lncRNA from 1 species